AACCGCAGACAUAGAACCGUUUCCCGGUAACCUCCGUAAACAAAGAAGCACUUCGAUUAUAAACACUACUUUAUAGGCAUUACAUGGAGCGAAGAUGAAAACAAAAUGCCAUCGAAACUUUUCUGAAGACAUUCAGAGCCUUCAGAGGAGCAACAUCAGACGGCAUUGGUCCCAGAGCCGUGACAUGGCAUGAAGAUUGUAACUUUCAUCCUUUGGACAAGGUGAUAAAGGAUUCAGUUUGAUUAGAUCCUGGUCUUCCUUCAUCUCAGCACUGAGAGCGUCAGUCUGAACUGACCUUCAGUCUCAUCCAGAGAGCGUUUACAUAUCAGAAAACACUGCAAUGUUCGGUGGCUCGUGGCUGUAAAUAACAAAAACGGAUGCCAACAGCCGAACCUGUCUGGUGUCAUGCUGCCAAACAGCGGGAACAGGAUUAAACACUCAGACGAGGACUGACAACGGUAUUUAGCUGCUGCGUGUAUGUGUGAAUAUGAGAUACAGCAGAAAGCCAAAGCCAUAGAAAGACAGAGCGUGACACUACUUCAUAUAAGCAACAGAGAUUAUGAGAUGAACACAUCUAUCCACUUGAUCUUACUCUUCUCUCUCAUCUCACCUUCACUUAAACACAAAACUACAGUGACUCUCCUGCCUGACCUUCAUUCGAACCAUGUGCGAGAGGCCAAAUCCAGUCCUGACGGGCUUUAUCACUCAUCCUUAAAUCAUCCAUGCUGCAUUUGAAGCUUGAUUUACUGAAGUGACCUUUUUAUCCUAUAACUCAAACCCUUUUUCCCAGGCUCUUCCUCCAGCGGUAACCCUCUGGCGGAGGAGGCAUGACCGUGUUAAUGUCUCCCUCUGAACAGGAUUACCAGCCUCAAAACUAAAGUGGCUGCCGGCUCGCUGUGAAUUGCAGCUCUCACUGUACCAUGUCCUGUGGCGAGGGAACUUGGGCUCGGUCAGGAUCUCCUUGACAGACAUGACAUCACCAGGAAUGAUGGGAUAGAAUUCACUGAAGGAGGCCUUUUCAUCACUGUACAAACACAAGAGAAAGAAUAAAAGACGUCAUGGGCAUGACUGAAGUUGUUCUGAUGGGCAUCCACAAUUGCAUUAUGGACAGCCGUCCCAUUAGAAGAGCUGAACUGGAGCCGAUAAGACCUCAUAUGUUUGCACAGCUGCUCUCUGAAGGGACACCAGACUGAUUGGGAAGCGUGUGAAUGGAGUGGCAUCCAGUGGCGUGACGUGGGGGAAUGUUCAUGGCGUGCUUUGAGGGUCAGUGUGGCUCUACCUGGAUUUGAACUUUCUCUUCUUGAUCAGGGAGGACAUCUCCAUGCUGUG